UCCACAGAGGUAGGCUGUAAAAGCUAGCCUUAGAAGAAGACAAUAUAGUCCCUGCAAAACCCACCACACUUUUCAUUAUUUUAUGAAUACAAUGACCUGUCUAUCAUGUGCUUUUCCUACAUUUAUCUGUUUGUUUUAUUUCUCUCUUUUGCUUCCGUUUAGUCUUUUGUCGUCUCUCUUUUUUACAAUUGAAUGCUUUUUUCAAUUUGGUUGUUGUCUGUAAGUAUAAAUGUGUGUGUAUAAAAGAAAGAGAAAGAGAUAACUACUUGAGUAUUGCUGCAGGCUGCAGCCUUGUGGCUAUUAGGUUUGAUUGUUGAAUCAUGAGAAAAUUAAAAGAGAAAGAGCAAAGAGGGUUUUCGAAAGAAGGAAAAGAGGUGUCUGGAAUGAAGUUUGAUCCAAGAUCCUAUUGUCUCUCCUCCAACUCUUUGUUUUGUGUGUGUAAAUUAGGAUAGUCUCGAGGAAGAAAAGGUUUUGAAUGGGAUGAGUUCUAUAAUAUCUUUCAUUUGCUUUGAAAGAAGAGGAAUCCAAGAGAGAUCCUUUCAUUUAUGAACCUUCUUCUUCUUCUUCCUCUCUCGUCACUUGUAUUUGGAUAACUUCAUGGACCGAUCGAUCUCGGACCAGGCUUCAUUCCUCACACCAACUUUUUCCUUACUCAACUACAGGACUUCAUCAUCUCAAAGAAGUGGAUUUCGUAGGUGUAUAACAGUAUUGGAUCGAUCUUGUUUGAUGAGAAAAGGGUUUGAUUUCGGGUUGUUCUUCACGUUUGAUAUAUUUAUACAUUUACAUAUAUAUGUUAAGGGUUUUGUGUUAAGAUGAUCCUUAAAGAUGAUUGAUCAUAUCAAUACCCUAUUACAACUUAGGCUUUUCUUCAUUAACCCUAUUGUUUACUUUAUUUGUUGAUAUAUCUGAUAAUGCUAAAAUGGAAAUAUACAACAUCUCUCUUGCUUGCUCUAGCUUCUCUCUCUCUUUACACAGACUUCGUCAAUUUGUCCCUCAGAUUCUUGGACAAAUAACAUAAGACAUGCACGCAAAAGAAAGAGAAUAUGAACAUGUCAUCAUCGAUUACGAAAAAGGAAGAAAAAAAA